rnacentral:rRNA from 1 species
CCCUUAGAUGUUCUGGGCGGCCCGCGCACUACAUUGGCACUAGCAAAGAGAUCCUAGAUUGAAUUCUUUGGGGUAUUCUUCUAAAUGGUGUCGUGACUGGGAUAAAUCCUUGUAAUUAUUGGUUUUGAACGAGGAAUUCCUUGUAAUCGCGGUUUAUCAGCUCGCGUUGAAUGCGUCCCUGCCCUUUGUACACACCGCCCGUCGCUCCUACCGAUGGAUCGUCCGGUGAAGCUCACGGAGUGACUGCUCACGCAACGGUUUACGAAGUGAAAUGGACCUCACGAUUUAGAGGAAGGAGAAGUCGUAACA